ensembl:lncRNA
GUACCCGAUGCCCCGGGUCCACGAACUUCUGGACCGAUUGGGCACCGUGCAUUUUUUUUACGACACUGGGCACCGGGUGCUGCGUCCGCAUUCUGCGUAUGCUGCUGCCUACCUGGAUGACGUCAUCAUACACAGCACCACAUGGGCGGAGCAUGUGCAGCGGGUGGGCGCGGUGCUGGAGUCCCUGAGGCAGGCCGGGCUCACCGCCAACCCGGGGAAAUGGGCAGUAGGACGGAGGGAGGUACGGUAUCUGGGGUACCACUUGGGCGGCGGGAGGGUGCGCCCUCAGGUGGACAAAAGCGCAGCCAACGCAGCCUGCCCGUGGCCCAAGACGAAAAAAGAGACUGAUGCGUCGAACAAAGGGCCGGGGGCCGUUUUGUCCCAGCAGGUGCAGGGGUGGACCGCCCGGUCCUCUAGAUCAGCCGGAAACUGUCGGAGAGAGAGGCCAGUGAGCAGGACCUGGAGAGCGAGUCUCGGGAGCAGACGCUGAGGGGCAAGGCCGAGGAGCAGAUGCGAGGAGCAGAGCCGAGGGAGACAAACCAACGGAAACCUGCUCACUGCAAGAAAAGAAAAUAAAACUGCCCAGAAGAACCGUGUGUCCUUAAAGCAAACCCCGAAGCUGGUAGCUCGAGCGUGCCACUAAUACGUAUUUGUUGCAUGAUAGUCGUGACUAGUUUCGACUAGUCACCUUGAACGCACCAGAAGACGUCAUGUGCUCAGAGCCGUGGACACUGCCUACCGCACCAACUCUAACCCAAUCACCAUGAAAGAACUCUGUUAGCCCAAUAGGAUGGUUAGCACCCCCUUUUUGAUUGUCUAUAUAUGUACGUGUACCUCCCCUUGUUCGGGAUUCGUGGGUGGAACCGGUAGACAGUUAACUACGUUGUAGUCAAAGGAGUCGCUGUGGUCUGUG